AAUGCAGAAACAGGAUGAAAAGUUGCAUAAUUGUUUCCUAAGCUGGAGGUAGGAAACCAGCUGCACUGAGUGCCUGGGGUGCGCUGCGCAGAGAGGGGGCGCAGGGAGAAGCUGCAGCCCUUGCUCGGGGUUAAAAUCUGCUGCCUGCUGAUCACAGAGGUUGGCAAACAGGAGAGAUCCGAAGAACAGCUACAGAACUUGCUAAUACUGAAGAAAUGAUUAUGUGGAGGCAAUUUGAGGAAACUCAUCCCUCAUGAUUUAAAAUAGAUGUAUUCAUCAGAAGCCCUGCUUAUAAACGUUCCCUGUUGACCUGUUCGAAGUUCGUAAGUGAUGAGUAUAGUACUGAUGCAUACUCAGAAAGCGAAGGCAUUAUAUGAUGAAUUAUGAUUUCUUUUUUCAGAACAUGUGAUUGUGAAGCUAACGAGCGACCCACACUGGUCACACAUGUCAAUCUGUUACCUGACACAUCCUCUUUGCCACCAGAGCACUGGAACUGGGUGUGAUGGCAAGGAAAUAAAAAAACCAAAUGAGAAUAGCAGGAGCCUCAUGGAAGGGAAGGGAAGGGAGAAGCUGAAUUAAUGAAAUUGGCCCAACCCAGAAGGAUUUCUUGUACUUCCUCUAAGGUUAGCACUAGCUGAGAGUCCAGUAUAAUUAGAAUACUGUACAUGUUCAUAUUGUAGUGUCUUUAAGCAUUUCUCAAUUGAAUAUAUCUGGUUGUGAAGUAAUACCAUGUUUUCCCAAUGGCAACUAGACCUGAAAUAGUUUUGGCUUCUAACAGAUGUCUUCCCAUCCUAUAUACACUUAUUUUUAGAAUACAUAAAUAAUUAUUUUUGCUAAAAUAAGAAAAAAUAUGGUCUUAAUGCAGACCCUUGGGUGGGUCCAUUACUAACUGCUCUCCUGUUGGAAAAGCAGCCAUUCACUCCAGCUUUUCAUUUUCCAUCCCAUAUUCACUGUUUACGUCAUGCAAAAACCCAGUGGUUAUUUAUUUUCUUUGAUAACCUUUUCCAAAGCUUGUCAGAAAACUGAAUAAAUUAUGCCCAUGGGGUCAUCUUUAUCUUCUACUUCAUUAACUUUGUCAAAUGCCAUCUAAAAAAGCACAGUUUUUCUCUUACAGAAGCUGUGUUGGUCUGGCCAUCUAUCAAGUUAUACUUAUUCAGUUCUAUCCUUUAUCUAGACUCUGCAUCAGAUUACUCAGUAUCUGUACUUCUUUUUCACAAUGCCAUUCAAAGAAGUUGUUUCAGUAUAGCCUAAUAUCUGUGAUACAUGGUGGAGUUGCACCAGGAACGAAUAUGGUGCAUUUAAUAACAAAUAGCAACUCCUGUACAUAGGGAUGGGAAAACUUGUUGCUUAUUGUGACUAACGGGGAAGAAAAUGGAAACAUACUUAGUCUCUCUCCUCCUCUCCCAAAUCUUGUUUCUUUUCAACACUCAGAAAGUUACUGCUGGGGGGAUUAUGCACCCCUAUGGUGGGUGCAGCAUUCAUAUGGUCACAUUUUUCUGUGUCCCUGGGCAGAAAAACUCAGAAAAAAAAAAAAAGAUCUGCCAGGGGACAAGCGCCUGUUUCCUGGCAGCCCAGGCAGCGUGUCUGUUCCAGGGUGCCUGGAGCAGCUACAGAGACGAGGGAGGAAGGCUGGGCGUGCGUGCUUUGUGUGGUUCAGCACCUUUGGGAGUGCAGGGCUGGGCAUACGUGCUGGGCGUAUCUCUUGCGACUGCAGCUUGCUGGCAUGGACGGAUGGGGCUUUUUAUUAUGCAUGAGGCAGGCUAGAGGCAAAAAUGUAGCAGCCUGCCUGAGUUAAUUGACCUCAUUCUCUGAGGCAAAAAUGUAGCAGCCUGCUAACAUUGUUAGUGUUUCUAGAGUUAGUUAACUGUUCCCAUUCUCAGUCAAUUCUCCCAGGAGCAUAAAACCUGUGAAAGUUUUAAGGCCCCUACAUUACCAGAGUGAGGUAAAGGAGCCUUAUUAUAAAUGACAGUAAGGGAAUCCUCAGCUAGGAAGAUCUAUGUGCUUUCUCAUUUUUUCCUGUGCCAAAGUGGCACAGUGGGGUUAGAUUACAGCUCAGGAUUUAUUUUACUUACCCAUUUAAUAAAAAAGACUUUGAGGGCAAAUAAAAUAUUUUCCAAACAGUCAAUAAAAUGUCAGGAGAAUGAGAACCAAGCAUUUCCUAAAGUACCCAGCCAGGUUCAGGACAAUAAUUAGCAAAAGUGUAUGCCUUUCAUGUGUGAAAGUCUGAUUAAUUUAAAAUGACAUUCUACGUUUUUUUUCCUGUUUGGUGUUCUGUAAUGUAAUUUAAAUGAAAAUCCAGGAUUGUAACUGGAAUGCAGGGUAAUAGUUAUCAAGUGUUUGUAAGCUAACUUUCAUGUGUUUAGGACAUGCUGAAUAGUUACUGUGACUUUUUUUUUGUAUUGUAGUUUAAAUAAAUUACCAAAACAUUUUAAA